GGAGAGUUGGCUGAGCGGUCGAAAGCGCACGCCUCGAAAGCGUGAGUCGCGUAAGCGACCGGAGGUUCGAAUCCUCCACUCUCCG
rfam:Omnitrophica WOR_2 bacterium SM23_72 WORSMTZ_6891, whole genome shotgun sequence.